CACCUCCCGGACGGGGUGGCUGGCCGGGCGGGGGGCUGACCCCCCCACCUCCCUCCCAGACGGGGCGGCUGACAUCAGUCUCUUUCAAUUUUAACAGAGGGACAAGGUCGGGGAGUGGGAUCCUUUUGUUUUUAAAGUAAAACACGACAGAACUCACACAUUCAGGUGCACAGUUCUGUGGCACUGGCUCGUUCACAGCAUCGCCCAGUCACCAGCGUCUAGUUCCAGAGCACUUUCGUAACUCCAGGGGGGAGCUGCAAGCAUUGCCCCUCUUCCGGGAGGCCCUGGGGAGAGCGCUGCAUGCUUAUUCCUGACGCCGGCCACAGUCCUGCCAGCAGAGCUGUGCUCACUCCACUGAGGGGUAGGCACUGGAGGGACCAAGCGGGCAUGACCCUUGCCCCAGUGUUCAGAUGGAGCCCCAAGGGGCUGGUAGUCUGGGCAUGGCCAUGGGGUGGGGAGGGGAGGCCAGGCUGGGGGAGGCCAUGCAGGGUCCGGGGCCGGGCUGGGGGCUGGAGGGGGGCAGUCGCCAGAGAGAGGAUGGUUGGCCAAGCUGGGAGCUGGGGCAGGAAGUCUGUCCAGGAGGCAGUGAGGGGUGAGUGGGGCAGAGACUGCCAAUGCUACUGUGAGGUGGGACCUGGAUUCCCUUUCUGAUCAGACCUGAGCCAGACGUGGAUGAGAGGAGGAGGGUCCCGGGGGCGGCAGCCGCGCCAUGGUCUCCACACGGGCCGGGCACUGGCGCCUGCUGCCCUCUGUGACGAAGCCAUGGUCUCCAGAAGCCGGGACUGCGCUGGAGCCUCCUGGAGACCCUCAGGGAGGCGGGUGGGCGCUUCUGGGCAUCACGGGAAGGGCGCUGAGGGGAAGCGAGCAGGAUCUUUCCAGAAGGGGACGGAGGAGGGGCAGGGCCUGUGAUUUGGGAGUUGGGGGGGCUCCCGGGAGUGGCUGGGGCUUUGGGGCGCGUCCCCGCCUG
rnacentral:lncRNA from 10 species